AGUUCUCGGCGGAUACAACAUCUUCGUUUGUAUGUGGUGCUGAGGAUCGAACCCGGGCCGCACGCAUGCCAGGCGAGCGCGCUACCACUUGAGCCACAUCCCCAGCCCCAACGGGCUCUUGCAUAGUGACAUCCUUCAGGACAAACAGCCCACAACUUGGGGCAGCUCCUGUAGAGGCUACCCAGAGCCAGGCCCUGGCAGGAAGGGAGACAAGGACCCUGUGAGGAACUGGGGCAGGGGCUUGGCAUGGAAGUCUCGGACCCUCUCCAUUAAAGCUGCUCAGGGACCAGAGCCACUCUUCGGAGCUUACGCAGCCCCGGCCACCAGACUGCAGAGGGCGGCUCCCAGUGCGGGAGGGGGAGCCACUCCGAACCGGAAUGAUCUGGUUUAGGGCGGGCUGGCUCUCCCUCCUCCUCUUUGCCGCCCACCCCUUCUCCCGCGACAGGCUGAUUUCUGCCGCAGUCCCUGACCAAGGUAAACAGGGGGGAGGUGGGGAGGAAAGAAGGCUCUGUUUCCAUGGCAACCCAGAGGGCGGUCGACACGGCUCUCCGAUGUGUGCGUGUAAUUUCUGAGGGAAAAAAAAGAUUCACUGCAAAAGCCUUUACCGUGGUCGCGGUGGGAGUCAUUCUGGAACACUACAUGGGCCUGGUGUUGGGGGGAGAGGGGACCUUGGGCACCCUAGUGGAGUGGCAGAUGAGCCAGGGCCUGGGGACAGAGACACCCCAGGAGUGGGUUUGCACCAAAAAUGCAGUCAUCGACCCAAGAAACAGAAAACAGAUACCAAAGUCCCAGACCUUCCCACUCCCACCUCACUGCCCUUUUCCAGAAAGCCCUUCGAAGGGGCAGCCACGGAGCUGGGACCAAGAGACCCAGGGACUCAGGCCCGAACAAGAGUCUGUGUGAAAGAGAGAGAUCCCUAGUUCCCCAUCUCAGAGAGGGGGCAGGACACUGCUCCCCUGGGAGCACCUGGCUGGCCCCAUCUUACUCCUCAAGACCUGUCCUGUUUUUCUGGAGCCUGAUCCCUCAGUAUGGGAUCAAUGGCUGCUGGAAGAGGUGAGCCUCAGGGAACAACGGAAUAACUCCUGCUUGAAAUCGUGGGUGUGGGUCUCAGGGGUUACCCCCUCCCAUCCUGAAGGCCAAGACUGUCACCAUGUCACUCUCCAGUAGUUGAAUGAAGUCUCUACUGACGGAAGCCAUAUCACCAAAGCCCUUCUCUCAGGAGCAACCUGAAGGGGGUCAGAAACCUCUCAAGACUUCCUGUCAGAUUCCUCAGAAACUCAUUCCAUUCCUGACCUGUGUGUGGGAGAGGGAGCUGUGGGUGGGUAAGCUUCCUGUCCCAGCAAAGCUGAGUGAACCUGAGUAGCUUCCACCUGCCCCUGACUUAGCAGCAGGGAUGCUGGCCAGAAGCUGGAUUCUUCUAGCUCAGUUUCCCCUGGCUAGACAACAACCCCCUCUGGCAGUGAGGCUUCUAGGCUCAGGAAAUCCAGGCCUCAGGCCUCCUCUCUUAACAUAAGACCUCAGAUGCUUGUGGUCUUCCUGGGAGAUACCUUCAGGAAAGAACCAAGGGCAAAGACAAGAAAAGGCAAAUAGGCCUGCUUUUCCCUUGCAAAAAUCCAGAAAUGCCACAUCUCAGAUCUUUCCAUGGCCCACAGAUUCCAAACUUCCCUAACUUGAACACCUACCUCGUCUCUUGGCUCACUCCAGCCAGAGGUCUCCCUGCUGCUCCUUAGUCAGGCACACUCCCUCUUGAGGCCUAGGCACUGGUGGCUGGCUCUGCCUGGAAUGCUGUCCUCCAUACUUACACCAUCAGUUCUUUAUUUCCUCAACUUCAGUUCUUUAUUCAAAUGUCAUCUCAGUGAGGCAGAGCCACGGCGAGGGUAUCACCAUGAGGUCACCAAACCUUGAUGCCUUGAUUUUAAGUUGUAUCUAUACCCUCUCCUCCCCUAGCCCUGUCCUCUUCCCAUCUCACUUUGUGAUCAUCUUGUUGUUGUCUGACUCCCUCUGUAAAAUGGAAGUGCUGUGAGGACCGGAAUCAUCUGCCUUGUUCUUGUGCUCUCUGGAGCCUCACUCUUGGAUGGAUGGAUGGAUGGUAGGUUAGUCAACUUUUCAUCACAGUGACCAAAAUCCCUGACAAGAACAACUUGGAAGAGGAAAAGAUUAUUUUGAGCUGACAAUUUCAGAGAUUUAGUCCAUAGAGGGCCAACUCCGUUGCUCUGGGACCAAGGUAAGAAAGCGCAUCACGGUGGAAAGCCUAGCAAUGGAGCACUGCUCACCUUGUGGCAGCAGGAAACCAGAGAAAGGAAGGAGUGGCAGGGAAAAUGCACCCUUCCGGGGCACACCCCCAGUGACCACCUCCUCCAUCCAUGCCCUACCUACCUACAGUUACCACCCGGUCAAUCCAUUCAAACUAGGAUGGGCUAAUUAGAUCACAGCUCUCAUCUG
rnacentral:lncRNA from 1 species